CUUUCCAGUUCCCCUCAUCUUUACAGAUCUUACAUAUUUCUUUCCUAAUCAUUCAAUUCUAUCAGGAAUUUGGCAACUGAAGAAUGUCUUCAGGAAGACUAUGUACUUGGGAAUGUCCCGAAGGGCAUUAGCUUACUCACCUAGCACAGUGCAAGGCACCUCGUAGGCAGACGGUAUUUGCUGAAUUGCCUUGAACACAACCCUUUUCAUAUUAUUUUAUGCAGAUUUUUAGUCCUUUAGUGUGUUUUAAAAAUUUUGGUUUCUGUUUUAUUCACCUUUUCUAUUUUUUUUUUUUCACAACCAGUGUCAACACCCUUCCUCACCAUGUUGUGGUUUGCCGAUUGGAUAAGGAAGACUUCCAAGGCCCCUUCUGUGGCCUCUCCUGUCCACAGUCUGCACCUGUCCUCUCAUUUGUGGUGAAACAGAGAAGUGUGUCUAACACAAAGUGAACAGGAAAUAAGGAAGUGUUUUUAUGCACAGAGAAUGCAACUGCUGUCCAAAGUCAGUUAAUUAAAAAACAUCAAUCUAUGCAAACAUGAAGAAAUGGCCCAGCGGGAAAUUGGACCAAUUUGGAGUUUGGUAAAGUCUACUUAUUUUCAACGUGUCUCUAAAUUUGGGGAAAACAUCUUGGUUGAAUGUUUACAUAAUCAUGUGAUGGGAUAUUUCUUUAAAAAUAUUGUCAUUAUCCCCAAGCUAAGUAUUUAUUCUUUUGUUUAGAAUUUACAUAAGGUAGUAACCUAUGCUUUGGAAAUCACACUAGAGGGGCUCCAAUUCUUUUCUGCAUCUAAACUCAAUAUGGACGAAUCUUGGAUUACUAUGGUAUUUUACUUUUCGGAUUAACAUGGUGAAAAAAAAUUUAAUAGCAAAGAGCAAAGGUAAGCUCUAAGAGAAUUUGGGUGUUUGGAUCUGGUUGCUUCUUUUUAAAAAGAAUUAAAUUAAUUGCAAAUCCCUUGGUGAUCAGAAGUACAAGGGAAAUGUAAUCACAUUGUUGGUACAUGGUUCUCACUAGUGUGAGUCAAAUAAUGUUCUCACAAACAAUGGCAACUUAUUUAUCUAACCUCAUUGUUCCUUAUAAUGACUUUUUGGGAUAAUUAAGGCAGAUUCCAUUAAUCCCAUAAAUGUUUUUAGGAAAAACCUUUCUAAAAUAUAUGGCAAACUUUCUUUUUGUUAAACUUAUUGAAACUAGAUGAAACUUCCUAAUAGUUAAGAGAAAUCUCAUAAGCAUUCAUUAUUCUGUGGUGCUGGAGAGUCAAGAGCGCUAAAGAUACAACAAUAACAAUCAUCUUCAUAGUAGUUACCAUGUGUGAUCAUAUAGGAUAUUGUGUGCAGGAACAUUUCUGAGUGCUUUUUUCAUAUUAACUCAUCCCAUUCUUGUUAGAACACUAUGAAGUAAGAACCAGUAUCGUUCUCAUGUUGUAGAUGAGUUAACUGAGAAAGGGGCACAGGAAAGUUCAGUAAUUGGCCUAAGGUGGCUCUGCUCACAGUGGGUAGAGCCAGGAUUCACGUUCAGGAAGUCUGUCCCCAGAGCCUAGCCCCUCCGGCUUUAUGGUCCCUAAAAUAAGCAUGAGUUCAGGCUCACGUCCGAAUUUUGGCCCUGCCACUUGGCAGUUGAGUGAGGAGGUUAAGUUUGCCUAACUUUUCCAAGUUCUAAUUUCCUUAUCUUAAAAUGAGGAUGAUAAUGGCACUGACAUUACACGUUGUUGCAAGGAGAGAAUGAAAUAGUGCAGGCAAACAGCUUGGCACUUAGGAAGACAUCAAGAAGUAUUAGCUUUUUGUUGUUGUUGCUCUUUUUAUUUCUGGCACCAGAAAUCCCAGGUCCACUGUUGACUGUUGUAGCUGAUUGUAGGCAAUCUACCUCACUUCUCCAAGCCACAGUUUUCCUUCUAUAAAAUGGGGAUCUGUAUGUUUAAUAAAACAGCUCCACCCAGUUGAAAAUAUAAUACU
rnacentral:lncRNA from 1 species